UACGAAGGGGGGCUAGCGUUGCUCGGAAUCACUGGGCGUAAAGGGUGCGUAGGCGGGUCUUUAAGUCAGGGGUGAAAUCCUGGAGCUCAACUCCAGAACUGCCUUUGAUACUGAAGAUCUUGAGUUCGGGAGAGGUGAGUGGAACUGCGAGUGUAGAGGUGAAAUUCGUAGAUAUUCGCAAGAACACCAGUGGCGAAGGCGGCUCGCUGGACCUCUUCUGACGCUGAGGCGCGAAAGCGUGGGGAGCGAACAGG
rnacentral:rRNA from 1 species